ACUGGGCUUGGAGUCAGAAG
rnacentral:ncRNA from 3 species